AAAUUGAAGAGUUUGAUCAUGGCUCAGAUUGAACGCUGGCGGCAGGCCUAACACAUGCAAGUCGAACGGUAACAGAAAGAAGCUUGCUUCUUUGCUGACGAGUGGCGGACGGGUGAGUAAUGUCUGGGAAACUGCCCGAUGGAGGGGGAUAACUACUGGAAACGGUAGCUAAUACCGCAUAACGUCGCAAGACCAAAGAGGGGGACCUUCGGGCCUCUUGCCAUCGGAUGUGCCCAGAUGGGAUUAGCUAGUAGGCGGGGUAACGGCCCACCUAGGCGACGAUCUCUAGCUGGUCUGAGAGGAUGACCAG
rnacentral:rRNA from 1 species